GUGGGGAAUCUUGCGCAAUGGGCGAAAGCCUGACGCAGCCAUGCCGCGUGAAUGAUGAAGGUCUUAGGAUUGUAAAAUUCUUUCACCGGGGACGAUAAUGACGGUACCCGGAGAAGAAGCUCCGGCUAACUUCGUGCCAGCAGCCGCGGUAAUACGAAGGGGGCUAGCGUUGCUCGGAAUUACUGGGCGUAAAGGGCGCGUAGGCGGACAGCUUAGUCAGAGGUGAAAGCCCAGGGCUCAGCCUUGGAAUUGCCUUUGAUACUGGCUGUCUUGAGUUUGGGAGAGGUGAGGGGAACUCCGAGUGUAGAGGUGAAAUUCGUAGAUAUUCGGAAGAACACCAGUGGCGAAGGCGACUCACUGGCCCAAUACUGACGCUGAGGCGCGAAAGCGUGGGGAGCAAACAGGAUUAGAUACCCUAGUAGUCC
rnacentral:rRNA from 1 species